AUACGUAGGGUGCGAGCGUUGUCCGGAAUUACUGGGCGUAAAGAGCUCGUAGGUGGUUUGUCGCGUCGUCUGUGAAAUUCCGGGGCUUAACUCCGGGCGUGCAGGCGAUACGGGCAUAACUUGAGUACUGUAGGGGAGACUGGAAUUCCUGGUGUAGCGGUGAAAUGCGCAGAUAUCAGGAGGAACACCGGUGGCGAAGGCGGGUCUCUGGGCAGUAACUGACGGUGAGGAGCGAAAGCAUGGGUAGCGAACAGGAUGAGAUCCCCUGGUAGUCCAUGCCGUAAACGGUGGGCGCUAGGUGUAGGGGUCUUCCACGACUUCUGUGCCGUAGCUAACGCAUUAAGCGCCCCGCCUGGGGAGUACGGCCGCAAGGCUAAAACUCAAAGGAAUUGACGGGG
rnacentral:rRNA from 1 species